rnacentral:rRNA from 1 species
UACGUAGGGGGCGAGCGUUGUCCGGAUUCAUUGGGCGUAAAGAGCUCGUAGGCGGUUCGGUAAGUCAGGUGUGAAAACUCCAGGCUCAACUUGGAGACGCCACCUGAUACUGUCGUGACUAGAGUCCGGUAGGGGAGCAUGGAAUUCCCGGUGUAGCAGUGAAAUGCGUAGAUAUCGAGAGGAACAUCAGUGGCGAAAGCGAAUCUCUGGGCAACAUCUGACGCUGAGGCACGAAAGCCAGGGGAGCAAACGGG